rnacentral:rRNA from 1 species
AGAGUUUGAUCAUGGCUCAGAGCGAACGUUAGCGGCGGGCUUAACACAUGCAAGUCGAACGAGAAUGAGGGGGCAACCCCUCUAGUAAAGUGGCGGACGGGUGCGUAACACGUGGAUAAUCUACCUUCCGGCGGGGGACAACAGUUCGAAAGGACUGCUAAUACCGCGUACGUCGGCGAGGGCUCAGGCCCUUGUCGAGAAAGAUGGCCUCUCCUUGGAAGCUGUCACCGGAAGAUGAAUCCGCGGCCCAUCAGGUAGUUGGUGAGGUAACGGCUCACCAAGCCAAAGACGGGUAGCUGGUCUGAGAGGAUGAUCAGCCACACUGGGACUGCGACACGGCCCAGACUCCUACGGGAGGCAGCAGUGGGGAAUAUUGGGCAAUGGGCGAAAGCCUGACCCAGCCACGCCGCGUGAGUGAUGAAGGCCUUCGGGUCGUAAAGCUCUGUGGGGAGGGACGAAAAAGCGCGUCUCCAAUAAAGGCGUGCCCUGACGGUACCUCCUUAGCAAGCACCGGCUAACCAUGUGCCAGCAGCCGCGGUAAUACAUGGGGUGCAAACGUUGCUCGGAAUUAUUGGGCGUAAAGCGCGCGUAGGCGGUUAUUUAAGUCGGAUGUGAAAGCCCUUGGCUUAACUGAGGAAGUGCAUCCGAGACUGAAUAGCUAGAGUACGAAAGAGGGUCGCGGAAUUCCCGGUGUAGAGGUGAAAUUCGUAGAUAUCGGGAGGAACACCGGCGGCGAAGGCGGCGACCUGGUUCGAGACUGACGCUGAGGCGCGAAAGCGUGGGGAGCAAACAGGAUUAGAUACCCUAGUAGUCC